UUACUUUGGAAAUAAUACGGUAGAAAAUAGAUCUUCUGGAACCACUUCCACAACUUCAAAUUCUAAAAACUAUGCAAUCAUCUUGCACAUCCAUUUCACUAAUUGCUCCAGGUUUCUUCUUCUCAACAUCUUUCAUGCGUUAGAGCGGCGAUAAACCCCAUGAUUUCUCUUUCGUGUGCUGGAAUUUCCAAGGGAUUUCAUGUCUGGGUUUACCCGAUUAUGACAUAAAAGUUGAACUUGCUAAGCUGCUAGUGACGAGUAUUCUAUUUUGUAGGUGACUUAUGCAUCUAGCUUCUUUUCACAACGGACAUUGCUACAUCCCUGAAAUAAUUAAGCUAUGGAGCAUGCCGUACGGACUGAGAUUAAUGGAAAUUCUCUUCUCCAUGGCUAGAGAAUAUGCCUCUGUUCCAUCAAUGGAUUUGACUAAGCGGUUCAACAUCAACUAGUAAGUGAUGAAGGAUGUAUAUGCGUAUAUGCGUAUUCCACUUGUUCCCGAGUUGCGGUCAGAAUGAACUUCUCUUACUCAUCCCACAAGGCCGUGAAUGAUUUAUAAGGAGACCAAGAGCUUAGCAGCAAUUCACUCUCGUGUUCUUCUGCUUUUAUCUUGAAUGAAAUCAGUCAAAAUCUGACAACCAAUGGACCAAGGCCUAAUCGUCAAGGUUCUUUUCGUUAUGGGAUGAUUAAUACCAUACAUAUUGUCAGUCUACAGAUUCUGCUCUAAUGGUUAAUGGAAAGUGAUGAUGCGUAGUAGUAAAUUGUGUAUCUUUCAUUCUAGCAGAUACACCAUUGAAACUUGUUGAGAUAGGUGCUUCCAGCAUUUGAGCUUAUGCAGUCCUAUUUCCAAUAGUUACUAUCUACAGUUUUCUUUCAUGGCAGCCGAUUUCCGAGAAUUUGUUGAAGUCUUCUUUGAGAAAUCUGAAGAUAUUGUCCAAUCUUGGCACAGCAUACUGGUGGCCAUCUUCUUUGUUGUCGGGUACUAAAUUAAUAUUAUUUGUAUAAAUUUAUAUAGGAACCUCUGUGUAGUUACAUAGGAAUAAAUGUGUAAGAUCAUGUAUAGUUUUAUUGUUGAACGAAAACAACUCCAUUUUUUUAGAGAUAUAUGAUAUAUUUUUUUGGAUUA